rnacentral:rRNA from 1 species
CGAACGGAGCUAUUCAGGAAACUUCCUUCGGGGAGCGGAAUCUUUAGCUUAGUGGCGGACGGGUGAGUAACGCGUGAGCAAUCUGCCUUUGGAUGGGGGAUAACAGCCGGAAACGGUUGCUAAUACCGCAUAAUGCAACGGGACCGCAUGGUCCUGCUGCCAAAGAUUUAUUGUCCAAAGAUGAGCUCGCGUCUGAUUAGCCAGUUGGCGGGGUAACGGCCCACCAAAGCGACGAUCAGUAGCCGGACUGAGAGGUUGAACGGCCACAUUGGGACUGAGACACGGCCCAGACUCCUACGGGAGGCAGCAGUGGGGAAUAUUGCGCAAUGGGGGGAACCCUGACGCAGCAACGCCGCGUGAUUGAAGAAGGCCUUCGGGUUGUAAAGAUCUUUAAUCGGGGACGAAAUAUGACGGUACCCGAGGAAUAAGCUCCGGCUAACUACGUGCCAGCAGCCGCGGUAAUACGUAGGGAGCAAGCGUUAUCCGGAUUUACUGGGUGUAAAGGGCGUGUAGGCGGGCCUGCAAGUCAGAAGUGAAAUCUGGGGGCUUAACCCCCAAACUGCUUUUGAAACUGCGGGUCUUGAGUGAUGGAGAGGCAGGCGGAAUUCCCAGUGUAGCGGUGAAAUGCG